AUUAAUUUUGAAACACUCAAAACUUUUGUGGAGAGUUCAACUCGUCCGACUUUCGGAGGACAAUUUUCCUGCCUGCUGUUCCUUCUGCUACUUUUGUUCGUAAAAAAAUCUCGGGCUUAAACUUGUGGUGGAUAAGAACAUAUGCUCUCUCUCCAUUUAUAUAUAAGUCGUUGAGGAAGUCACUGUCGUCGUCGUCGUCUUCUUGGUCGUCUGGUCUCCCAUUUGGUAAAUAUUUAAUAACCAACCAAACCAAAGUCGAGGAGCAGUAGCAGCAUCCAUAUGUCACGCAUUAUUAUGCAAAUGUGAACCCAGCUCAACAUAACAUAACACUCACACAAUAAUAAUAAUGUAAUGCUACUACUUGAAUUUUGUUUGCGUUUCCUUGU